rnacentral:lncRNA from 1 species
UUCCUGUGCUUCACUCCCCGAAAGCAGAGCAGGAGGGAGAGCUGGGGCCGUGCCUGUGGCUGCUCUGGGAAUCAGCAGGAAGCCUCAAAUGAGUUGAAGUUCUGGUCUGGAGUCAUGGUCAUGCCUGGGUACAAAGAGCCUCUGCUUGUAGCUGUUCAGAAAAAAAGGAGUCCAGACUGUGGGCUGUUCUUGCCUUCCCAUGAAAUUCCACUCUUCCCCUGGUUUAGGUACAGGAAGGAAAGAAUCCAUCUGUGGCAUUUCCCUGUGCAAGAUGCCAAAUGUUCAGUUGGAAAGGAGGUUUCUUCCCCCAGUCAGAACUGUCUCCUCUGUACCUCAAGAACUUCCUGUAGGAAAUUUUUAGACUGCUGGUGGAGCCCCAUGGAAUGAGUCAGCUCUGUGCUGCUUUCAGUCCUGUGAAUGAAAGGAGUCUGGAGGCAUAAUUUCCUUAUUACUGCAGCAUGGGUUUGAGAAAAUUGUAGAAUUCACUGCUUUCUCAUAGAUAUGUCUGUCUAAUUGACAGAAAGAAAACACCAAAGCCUCGUGUGAAUCA